rnacentral:rRNA from 1 species
GAUGAACGCUGGCGGCGUGCCUAAUACAUGCAAGUCGAGCGAACAGACGAGGAGCUUGCUCCUCUGACGUUUGCGGAGGACGGGAGAGUAACACGUGGAUAACCUACCUAUAAGACUGGGAUAAUUUCGGGAAAACGGAUCUAAUACCGGAUAAUAUCUUGAACCGCAUGGUUCAUUAGUGAAAGACGGUUUUGCUGUAACUUAUAGAUGGAUCUGAGCCGCAUUAGCUAGUUGGUACGGUCACGGCUUACCAAGGCAACGAUGCGUGGCCGACCUGAGAGGGGGAUCGGCGACACUGGAACUGAGACACGGUCCAGACUCCUACGGGAGGCAGCAGUAGGGAAUCUUCCGCAAUGGGCGAAAGCCUGACGGAGCAACGCCGCGUGAGUGAUGAAGGUCUUCGGAUCGUAAAACUCUGUUAUUAGGGAAGAACAAAUGUGUAAGUAACUAUGCACGUCUUGACGGUACCUAAUCAGAAAGCCACGGCUAACUACGUG